UACGUAGGGGGCAAGCGUUACUCGGAUUCACUGGGCGUAAAGCGCGUGUAGGCGGCUGGUCAAGCGUGGUGUGAAAUCUCCGGGCUCAACCCGGAAACUGCACCGCGAACUGGCCUGGCUGGAGUGCAGGAGAGGGAAGGGGAAUUCCCGGUGGUAGCGGGUGAAAUGCGUAGAUAUCGGGAGGAACACCAGUGGCGAAGGCGGCUAUCUGGACAGUGACUGACGCUGAGACGCGAAAGCGUGGGGAGCAAACAGG
rnacentral:rRNA from 1 species